GUGGAAAUUAACUUGUAAUAUGAGGUAUUUGAAAGUAAAAUGGUUUAAGAACACACUCUUAUGGGUUUUAUUUCCUUGUAGGUAUUAUUUUUUAUCCAGUCAAAAAUGUUGAAAUAUCACUUGUCACUGUACAAAUAACAGGAAGUAGUUCAAUAUAGUUUCUCCAUAUUUACUCUCUGUGGUUUUGAGCAAGACUUUUGAGAAGCUUUCAGAAGAUAUGCUGCAGAGAGUCGGUGAGGGCGGCUCAUUGUCUAUAACGAUGAACAUAAUAAUUGCUCUUCUGUGUGAGUACACUAACAGAUAACAUCUAUGUCUUUCAGUCAAACUGUUUUCUGUCUAUUUAAGCUGACAGGAUUCAUUUAAUUUUUCACUUCUUUUCUUCAAGGUAUUCUGACAAAUCAGGUCAUAAGCCAAGGUAAGUUCAGUUUCACUCAUUAAAAGAUAUGUCUCUUCUGUAUUCCUAAAUGUUAUUAAGCUGCACUCAUCAUCACAUAUAUUGCUCAUUAUGAUGUCACACAGAUAUUUUUCCUGCAAAGAUCCUGGCCCAGCAGACAAUUAUAAGUGAAAACAGUGACCUUUAUGUAACAUGCAGCACACUUGAGAGAAAGAAAGACUCCAAGGUUUUUAUUUAUUUGUUAAAAAAUGGGCACGGAAUCCAGAAUCUCACCCAGAAGCAAGAUCGAAGUGACACCAAGUUCAGGAUACCCAGAGCUGGUCUUCAUCACAGUGGAAAUUACAGCUGUGUUUAUUCUCAGAAACCUUAUACACUUUCUGAAGUAGUCAAGAAAGGAGACAACAUCAUUGAGAUUCUGGUCAUAGGUAAGUGUUUUGACUCCUGAACACAUGAUGUCAUUGUUAUUUCUUUCCACUCAUUUUCUCCUGUUUCCAUGCAGCCAAUUUUCUCCCAGCAGAUAUUUCAAUAGUUGGGCCAUCCACUGUUCAUGAGGGAGACUAUGUUGAAUUCCAGUGCACAGUGUCUCAACACCUACAUACACUUGGUGGAUGUAAAUUUAUCUACGCUUACCUGAGGAAGAACGACACGAUUCUCCAAGUGCAAGUCUUUAAUGUGUCUCAGAAGCUGGCAACUUUCAUCAUCGAUAGUGCAGUUUUCAAGGAUUCAGGUCCUUACAGCUGCAUAGUGCUGCCAUCAAAAUGCUUCUAUGAGCACGAGUACACAGUUCAUGGAACAAACAAUUUAUUUCUUGAGGUCAAAGUGGAUUUGGUGUCUACAGUGUUACUCCAUGGUGGAGUAAUAACCUUGAUGCUGUCACUAGGGGCGUGUCUUUGGUGGAUUUCAAACAAACUAGGUCAAAUAAGUAUAAUUAAAAAUAAUUUUAGGCUUCACAUUUUUUUCACAAGUCAUUGUAUAUUGUAUGGAUUAAUCAAACCAACCACAUAA
rnacentral:lncRNA from 1 species